GAUGAACGCUAGCGGCAGGCUUAAUACAUGCAAGUCGAACGGUAGAAGUCUCUUCGGAGGCUUUGAGAGUGGCGCACGGGUGCGUAACGCGUAUGCAACCUGCCUUCAGUUGGGGGAUAGCCCGGGGAAACCCGGAUUAAUACCGCAUAAUACAGGGGCCCCGCAUGGGGAUAUUUGUUAAAGAUUUAUCGACUGAAGAUGGGCAUGCGUCUGAUUAGCUAGUUGGUGAGGUAAUGGCUCACCAAGGCGACGAUCAGUAGGGGAUCUGAGAGGAUGGCCCCCCACACUGGUACUGAGAUACGGACCAGACUCCUACGGGAGGCAGCAGUAAGGAAUAUUGGACAAUGGGCGGAAGCCUGAUCCAGCCAUGCCGCGUGCAGGAAGACGGCCCUAUGGGUUGUAAACUGCUUUUGUAAGGGAAUAAUAAGGCGAACGAGUUUCGCUGAUGAAGGUACCUUACGAAUAAGCAUCGGCUAACUCCGUGCCAGCAGCCGCGGUAAUACGGAGGAUGCAAGCGUUAUCCGGAUUUAUUGGGUUUAAAGGGUGCGUAGGCGGCCUUUUAAGUCAGGGGUGAAAUGUUGCGGCUUAACCGCAGAAUUGCCUUUGAUACUGGGAGGCUUGAAUGAAGUUGAGGUAGGCGGAAUGUGGCAAGUAGCGGUGAAAUGCAUAGAGAUGCCACAGAACACCGAUUGCGAAGGCAGCUUACUAAGCUUUGAUUGACGCUGAGGCACGAAAGCGUGGGGAUCAAACAGGAUUAGAUACCCUGGUAGUCCACGCAGUAAACGAUGAGAACUAGCUGUUGGCGAUAGAAUGUCAGCGGCACAGCGAAAGCGUUAAGUUCUCCACCUGGGGAGUACGACCGCAAGGUUGAAACUCAAAGGAAUUGACGGGGGCCCGCACAAGCGGAGGAGCAUGUGGUUUAAUUCGAUGAUACGCGAGGAACCUUACCUGGGCUUGAAAGUGAGUGACCGGCGCUGAAAGGCGCCUUCCCUUCGGGGCACAAAACUAGGUGCUGCAUGGCUGUCGUCAGCUCGUGCCGUGAGGUGUUGGGUUAAGUCCCGCAACGAGCGCAACCCCUAUCAUCAGUUGCCAUCAGGUAAAGCUGGGGACUCUGGUGAGACUGCCUGCGCAAGCAGUGAGGAAGGCGGGGACGACGUCAAGUCAUCAUGGCCCUUACGUCCAGGGCUACACACGUGCUACAAUGGCAGCUACAGAGGGCCGCGACCGUGCAAACGGGAGCUAAUCUCAAAAAGGUUGUCACAGUUCGGAUUGAGGUCUGCAACUCGACCUCAUGAAGUUGGAUUCGCUAGUAAUCGCGUAUCAGCAAUGACGCGGUGAAUACGUUCCCGGGCCUUGUACUCACCGCC
rnacentral:rRNA from 1 species